UAUAAGCGUCACACACCGGGAGCUCAGGUAAGCGACUUUCCUCUGGGGUGCUGUCUCUUCUCCUGGCUGGGUUUGUGAUUUGUAGUGAAGCAUUUCAGGUAGCUUCACUUCUCAUCUGCUCAUCCCCUCACGUGUGGCUUUGUCACUCGUCAAGCGAGUUUUACACUCGUAUGUGUGCAUACCCUCUAAUCGUGCCUUUCACCUUGGCGUGGUAUUUUGUCUUUGUCGGCCUGGGCAUUUAGUGAAUUGGAACGCACACCGGAUCAUUAUUCCUUUUAAACGGAGUGUUUAAAUGUUUUUGACUAUUCAGAGUCCCGCAACGACUUGCUGGAGAAAGUGUGGCUUCGCUUUCGUGACUGUAUCGCUGUUUUGUUCCCACGAGGAUUACACGUCCAGUGUUCUGUUUUCAUCAGGAUUACUUUGAGCAUAAUGCCGUCUACUGGGGCGCGUGCAGUCUUAUUUUGUUUCAGUUUGUUUGUGUAGUUAAGCGUAUGUUAAGGAUAUUUGUUUAUUUUGUUCCAUAUUGUGAUUUCUUCUUGUGACUACUUAUUUUUGUGUUAACUCAGUGGAUAAUUUCUCUUCAUUUUGGAAACUCUUUAUCUUUUUGAGUAUCUGGUUUAUUUUUGCUGAUUAUUCAGCUGACUUUAUAAUUUCAAUUUAAUUUCAUUAUGGGUUUGAUUUAAAUGGAUAGAUGGUUAUAGCUGUCUUACCAUUCUCAGAUAAUUGUUGUUUCUUUAUUUUUGUUUUCUGAUGAUUGUUAGUCGUUUAUUCAAUUUAAUGUGAAGUUCUCUUCUUAUGUGGUUGUUGUUGGCAAAAUUUAAACUUUGUUAUUAAUUUGUUCUUUUUGCUGUAUGUGUGUGUGUUCCUCAGGAGCUGCAGGUUUACUCGGGACGAGGGUGUGUGACAUGCGGUGGUGGUGUUUCUCACGGAUUGCAGUGCGCUGCUGUGUGUGUGAGGUCUCACAUUAGUACAAGUGUGUGUGUGUGCGUGUGUGUGGCACGAACCGGAAUUGGUCUUUUACCUAGUUAACCUGAAGUAAGGUUGCAGCCCUGUGGAUGGUUGUGUGUGUGUAUAUGUGUGUGUUAAGUAUUGGAUUGUUAUUUUAAACUGAUCAAAAUAAAGCAUUUUUUGUAAAUUUGUACGCAGGCCUGUGUCUCCAAUUUAUAACUUCCUUGGUGGCGAACCUAUUUAGC